rnacentral:rRNA from 1 species
UCCGUAGGGGGUCUGUCAAGUCGGGUGUGAAAUCCUGCGGCUCAACCGCGGAACUGCACUCGAUACUGGCGGGCUUGAGUCCGCGAGGGGUGAACGGAAUUCCUGGUGUAGCGGUGGAAUGCGUAGAUAUCAGGAAGAACACCGAUGGCGAAGGCGGUUCACUGGCGCGGUACUGACCCUGAGGGACGAAAGCAUGGGUAGCGAACAGGAUUAGAUACCCUGGUAGUCC